UUGCUCUUCAACGAGGAAUACCUAGUAAGCGUGAGUCAUCAGCUCGCGUUGAUUACGUCCCUGCCCUUUGUACACACCGCCCGUCGCUACUACCGAUUGAAUGGCUUAGUGAGGUCUUGGGAUUGGCUUCGGGGAGCCGGCAACGGCACCCUGUUGCUGAGAACUUGAUCAAACUUGGUCAUUUAGAGGAAGUAAAAGUCGUAACAAGGUUUCCGUAGGUGAACCUGCGGAAGGAUCAUUAACGAGUUUUGAAAUGGGUUGUAGCUGGCCUUACGAAGGCAUGUGCACACCCUGCUCAUCCACUCUCAUACCCCUGUGCACCUAUUGUAGGCUUGGUGGGAAGACUGGUGUCAUAACCAGUCGGAAAGCCUUGCCUAUGUUUUAACACAAACGCUUCAGUUUUAGAAUGUCACAUUUGCGUCUAACGCAUGAAAUACAACUUUCAGCAACGGAUCUCUUGGCUCUCGCAUCGAUGAAGAACGCAGCGAAAUGCGAUAAGUAAUGUGAAUUGCAGAAUUCAGUGAAUCAUCGAAUCUUUGAACGCACCUUGCACUCCUUGGUAUUCCGAGGAGUAUGCCUGUUUGAGUGUCAUGGUAUUCUCAACCUCUAAAGCUUUUGCGAUAGAGGCUUGGAUGUGGAGGUCGUGUUGGCGCAAGUCAACUCCUCUGAAAUGCAUUAGUGUGAAUCUUACGGAUCGCCUCCAGUGUGAUAAGUAUCUACGCUGUGGUGUUGAAGUAUAUAGGCAUUCAUGCUUCUAAUCGUCUCUUCAUUGAGACAAUUACUUGACAAUCUGACCUCAAAUCAGGUAGGACUACCCGCUGAACUUAAGCAUAUCAAUAAGCGGAGGA
rnacentral:rRNA from 1 species